AUCAACGCUGGCGGCGCGCUUAACACAUGCAAGUCGCACGAGAAAGCGGGAGCAAUCCUGCAAGUACAGUGGCGUACGGGUGAGUAACACGUGGAUUAUCUGCCCUGGAGUGGGGAAUAACGCUGGGAAACCGGCGCUAAUACCGCAUAUUCCCGAGAGGGGAAAGCAGCAAUGCGCUCGAGGAGGAGUCCGCGGCUGAUUAGCUAGUUGGUAGGGUAACGGCCUACCAAGGCUAUGAUCGGUAGCCGGCCUGAGAGGGCACACGGCCACACUGGCACUGAAACACGGGCCAGACUCCUACGGGAGGCAGCAGUGGGGAAUCUUGCACAAUGGGGGAAACCCUGAUGCAGCGACGCCGCGUGAGCGAUGAAGCCCUUCGGGGUGUAAAGCUCUUUCGGCAGGGAAGAUGAUGACGGUACCUGCAGAAGCAGCUGCGGCUAACUACGU
rnacentral:rRNA from 1 species